rnacentral:rRNA from 1 species
GAUGAACGCUGGCGGCGUGCCUAAUACAUGCAAGUCGAGCGAACGGACGAGAAGCUUGCUUCUCUGAUGUUAGCGGCGGACGGGUGAGUAACACGUGGAUAACCUACCUAUAAGACUGGGAUAACUUCGGGAAACCGAGCCUAAUCCCGGAGGAUAUUUUAACCCGCUUGGUUCAAAAUUAAAAGACGGUCUUGCUUUACCUAAUGAUUGAUUCCGCGCUGCUUUACCUAGUUGUUAAGGUAACGGCUUACCAAGGCAACGAUGCAUAGCCGACCUGAGAGGGUGAUCGGCCACACUGGAACUGAGACACGGUCCAGACUCCUACGGGAGGCAGCAGUAGGGAAUCUUCCGCAAUGGGCGAAAGCCUGACGGAGCAACGCCGCGUGAGUGAUGAAGGUCUUCGGAUCGUAAAACUCUGUUAUUAGGGAAGAACAUAUGUGUAAGUAACUGUGCACAUCUUGACGGUACCUAAUCAGAAAGCCACGGCUAACUACGUG